CUUCAAUGCGGCAUAUCUUAACUACUGGCCGGGUGAAUGUGCCAUUUUUCAUCUUAAGAACUACCGAUCUAACUCUUCCAUCUCUGCUUCUGAUGAUGCAUUCGAUUCGUGCUAACGGCCAUUUGUGUCUGUGGAUACCAUCUUCUGCGCUAAGAACCAGUUCGCCGACUUGAGGCUCCUUUUGUUCAAAGUACCAUUUGGAUCUCUGCAAUAGUGUUGGUACUCUAGCUCCUGUUGUAUUCUACUUCUGUCACUUGUGGUUUUGGCGCCUUUGGACAUUUUGGACCUCACACUUUUUGGACUGUUUGGACCGUUUGGACUUGGAUUUGCAGGACUUGACAUCUUGAGUUACUUGAUUAUUUUAAAAAUCAAGUUUGAAGAAAAAUGUAGAUCACGGUGGGGAAUGAACAAUCAAACCAGUUGAUAGCAACAAUACUUUAAUGGUAUAAAGAGAGCUUCAAACUGAAGAAAAUUACAAAUGAACUGUUACCGAUAAAAUUUACAACUGUUACAAUUGUGUGCAAAAGCCAUGACAAAAUGAAAUAUAUUACAAUAAAUUACUAAAAACUA